CCCUUAGAUGUUCUGGGCCGCACGCGCGCUACACUGACGAUGGCAACGAGUUUUUCCUUCGCCGAAAGGUGUGGGUAAUCUUUUGAAACAUCGUCGUGCUGGGGAUAGAUCAUUGCAAUUUUUGAUCUUGAACGAGGAAUUCCUAGUAAGCGCGAGUCAUCAGCUCGCGUUGAUUACGUCCCUGCCCUUUGUACACACCGCCCGUCGCUACUACCGAUUGAAUGGUUUAGUGAGGACUCCUGAUUGGCGCCGCCGCCCCGGCUACGGAGCAGCGGACUGCCGAAAAGUUGUUCAAACUUGAUCAUUUAGAGGAAGUAAAAGUCGUAACA
rnacentral:rRNA from 1 species